CCUACGGGUGGCUGCAGUCGAGAAUCUUCGGCAAUGGGCGCAAGCCUGACCGAGCGACGCCGCGUGGAGGAUGAAGGCCUUCGGGUUGUAAACUCCUGUCGAGGGGGAACAAGGUGCCGUGAAGAACGGUGCUCGAGUGAUCCCUGGAGGAAGCACGGGCUAAGUUCGUGCCAGCAGCCGCGGUAAGACGAACCGUGCGAACGUUAUUCGGAAUCACUGGGCUUAAAGCGCGUGUAGGCGGUCCGACACGUCCGUUGUUGAAAUCCUCCAGCUCAACUGGAGAAUUGGCAUGGAUACGAUCGGGCUUGAGGGUGGUAGGGGAAUCGGGAACUUCCGGUGGAGCGGUGAAAUGCGUUGAGAUCGGAAGGAACGCCUGUGGCGAAAGCGCGGUUCUGGACCAUACCUGACGCUGAGACGCGAAAGCCAGGGGAGCGAACGGGAUUAGAUACCCCUGUAGUC
rnacentral:rRNA from 1 species